rnacentral:piRNA from 1 species
UAGAGUUCAGACAGUCUCGGCUUGACCU